GUUUGAUCUCAGACUGCUGUGCUAGCAAUCAGCGAGACUCCGUGGGCGUAGGACCCUCCUAGCCAGAUACAAAAAGAAAAAUUACUGUCAUGUGAUGUGUGAUCCAUGAUACCGUCAUAGUUUUGUUUUGCUGUGCUCCACCUUCAUACCUUCGCCUAUGUUAGAACUUCUGAGAAGCUGAAGCAUCACAUAUAAAAAGCCAAGACCAUCCUCAAGGAGUUUAAUGAAUGUGGCAUCACAAGAAAAAUAUGCAUCAACAUUGAAAAGCAAAGCCUUCCAGCCAGUUCAAUGGUGGGAGUCUCCCCCUGCUCUUCCUGCACAAUCAUUUCCCAUUGAGGAAGAAUGUGAAAAUGACGCACAGGAAAAGAAAUAAAAUUCCAUUAACAGAGCUUGAGGAAGUGGACUUGACUAAGCUGGAGUAAGGAGUGCAGAGAGUGAGGAGACAGGAUGCGAAACAAGA
rnacentral:lncRNA from 10 species